GUGGGGAAUCUUGCGCAAUGGGCGAAAGCCUGACGCAGCCAUGCCGCGUGGAUGAUGAAGGUCUUAGGAUUGUAAAAUCCUUUCACCGGUGAAGAUAAUGACUGUAGCCGGAGAAGAAGCCCCGGCUAACUUCGUGCCAGCAGCCGCGGUAAUACGAAGGGGGCUAGCGUUGCUCGGAUUUACUGGGCGUAAAGGGCGCGUAGGCGGACAUUUAAGUCAGGGGUGAAAUCCCGGGGCUCAACCUUGGAAUUGCCUUUGAUACUGGCUGUCUUGAGUUUGGGAGAGGUGAGUGGAACUCCGAGUGUAGAGGUGAAAUUCGUAGAUAUUCGGAAGAACACCAGUGGCGAAGGCGACUCACUGGCCCAAUACUGACGCUGAGGCGCGAAAGCGUGGGGAGCAAACAGGAUUAGAAACCCUAGUAGUCC
rnacentral:rRNA from 1 species